rnacentral:lncRNA from 1 species
UAAAUGGGAUUGUGAUGUAACUAUUUGCUUAGUUUAAAAACUGUCACAUUACUUUAUUUUUCAGGAGUUUCAUCUUUAUACUGAUUCACUUCUUUAAAGGUUUGUUAUUUGUUCCACUAAAAGUCGACUGAAAUAUUAAACACAUUUUCAUUCAAAGACUAGAAUUAAAACUGAACUAAAAUGCUUUCAAAAUUAAUAGUCCACUGACGGGAUUUCACAAUAAAGCAGCAAGAACAAAAUGGUACAAAACUCUGAUUGAAAUUCUUUGAAAACAGUUUUAUAAUGAAGAACAAAGGAAGGCGCUUAAAAAUGUAAUGAAAAAGCAACAAAAAAAGUUACAAAAACUUGAAAAAUAAAAAGAUGACGACAACGAGGCAACAAAGUCUUAGAUCAGUUUUGUAGGUCUUAGCUUUCAAAGAGGGGUUACACUGGUCUAUAUAAAGGCCGAAAGCUCCAGUCAAGAAGCUUAUAGAGUUGGGUAAAGCCGAAAUGAAAACAUUUUUCUUGGUUCAGCUGGGGGUUAAGAGGUUGAAGUAAAGGUAAGCUAAAGCUUUACAUUCCAUCAACACUAAAACAUCAGCAAGUCUGAAACAUUAGUUUGAAAUAGAGUCAACUCAAUAAGUCUCUGUGAACGACACAAACAUGAAUGAAAAAACAGCACAAGGGAAUGAUGAGACUAUUUAAAGGAUCAUUUUGCGCAGAACAAAGAUUUGUUUGGACAAAUUAAUAUUUUCUUUUCAAAUGUGAAUUCUGGGCUUGUAACAUUUCCUCUGCACUCUGAAGGUGAAACAAUAUAAUUCCAUAUUUGUGAAAAAGUUUUUUUUCAUAUAAGAUUUAGAUUAAGAUUAACAUUCUAUGACCUCCCUAAAAAACAUCAGCAUUUGUGAACAUUAGUUUGAACUAGAGUGAACUGGAUAAGUCUCUGAACUACACAGACAUGUUCAUGUCAUGAAGACAUUUGAUCUUAAAUAUCUGAAGGUCUGACCAACUCAUCACAGCUGUU